CAGCCGCCACGGUAAUACGAAGGGGGCUAGCGUUGCUCGGAGUGACUGGGCGUAAAGGGCGCGUAGGCGGAUUGUUUAGUUAGGCGUGAAAUUCCUGGGCUUAACCUGGGGACUGCGCUUAAUACAGGCAGUCUAGAGUGAGGAAGAGGGUUGUGGAAUUCCCAGUGUAGAGGUGAAAUUCGUAGAUAUUGGGAAGAACACCGGUGGCGAAGGCGGCAACCUGGUCCCUGACUGACGCUGAGGCGCGAAAGCGUGGGGAGCAAACAGGAUUAGAUACCCCCGUAGUCCCUGUCUCUUAUAC
rnacentral:rRNA from 1 species